CGCCGCGCCAGCCCGAGGGCAGACUCCUUGCUGUACACAGCACUCACUCGGACUGCUCCAGCCCGCAAGCCUGGUCCCUGCUGUGCCCAGGUGGCUGCUGACCGCCCGAUGGCUCCCUGAGAGCCACGGAAGCCCCUGUCGCGCCCGUGAGCCGUUCUCCGGCGGCGUGCUCCAUCUGGGACGGAGCCAGCGGCCGAGGCCCAUCGCACCGUCACCGCGGGGGGCCCAGCCCCUGGCUUUCGCUGCCUGCGUCGUCCUGUUUGUGCUUUUGGGGCGCAGAUACCGAGACUUUGACCAGUGCCCAAGAACUUAUGUGCAUUAAGGCAAUGUGUGGACUGCAGUUACCUCUGACCACAGGACCGAAGGAGAAGAGGUAGCUGGCAAACGCUUCUCUCUCCCACCUGUAGACAGUCAAGCAGAAUUCAGAAGACAAGGUAGGCUGAGCAAAGUAAAAAACUGACAGUCAUUUAGAGAAACUAUAACUUAGUGUCAUAAUUCUGUAUUUUUUUGGGGACACAUCAUGGAACAUCUGUAGGCAUCUGAAGAUUAAGAUACUUAAAGGUGGUCUGAGCAAGAAAUUGAGUUAAAUCUCUUUGUCGGUGCUUCAUUACUGUUUUGUUAAUAAGCUCAAAAUCCUCAAAAGGUCAUGUUCCUCUUGAACAGGUGCUCCACAGGCACUGGUGUGAAAUCCUUGACACUUCUCAACAGAAAUUAAAAGGAAAAGUCCUACUGAGUUAACUGACCUUCAUGUUCACUCUGAAACCCAUAAAAUGCCCUCAAGGGAGACAGUUCAGUACAAAAAUAAUAUUGGAUAAGUACCAUAAAAUCAAAGGACAAUUCCUGUUGGAAGGUACCUCAGUAGGACUCUAGGCCAACCUCCUGCUCACAGCAGGGUCAGGGAUGAAGUCAGGUGAAGUUACUCUGAGUUCUGUAUAUUCAGACCUUGAAAAAUUCUAAAGCUGGAGACCACAUAACACCUCUUGGCAACCUCUUCUACUUCCUAACUGUUCUUGCAGGAAAAAAAGUUUUCCUUCUAUCCAAUCUGAACUCUUCUUUCAGUUUAUGUCCCCAAAACUUGUCUCCAUAAUACUGUAGCCAGCACAUAGAGGAGGAAAGACUAUGCCACGUGUCACCCAAAAGGCAGAUGCUAAACCUCCAGGCCACGUUCAUAA